rnacentral:rRNA from 1 species
UACGAGGGGAGCUAGCGUUGUUCGGAAUUACUGGGCGUAAAGGGCGUGUAGGCGGUACCAUAAGUCAGAUGUGAAAGCCCUAGGCUUAACCUAGGAGGUGCAUUUGAUACUGUGGAACUAGAGAUCGAGAGAGGAAAGUGGAAUUACGAGUGUAGAGGUGAAAUUCGUAGAUAUUCGCAAGAACACCAGUGGCGAAGGCGGCUCACUGGCCCGGUACUGACGCUGAGGUGCGAAAGCGUGGGGAGCAAACAGG